AGGAUAAACGCUGGCGGCGUGCCUAACACAUGCAAGUCGAACGUCUCUUCUUUCGGGAAGAGGAGUGGCGGACGGGUGAGGAACACGUGGGAACCUGCCCUUUAGUGAGGAAUACCGGCGAGAAAUCGCCGACAAGACCGCAUAGCCCUCUUUGAUGAGAGUCAAAGAAGGAAAGCUUCGCAAGAGGCGCUAGAGGAGGGGCCUGCGUCCGAUUAGCUAGUUGGUGGGGUAAGAGCCUACCAAGGCGUCGAUCGGUAGCUGGUCUGAGAGGACGAUCAGCCACACUGGGAUUGAGAACGGCCCAGACUCCUACGGGGGCAGCAGUGAGGAAUUUUCGGCAAUGGGGGAAACCCUGACCGAGCAACGCCGCGUGCAGGAAGACGGCCUUGGUUGUAACUGCUUUUCUUUGGGUAAGAGGAAGGACGGUACCAGAGGAAUCAGCCCGGCUCACUACGUGCCAGCAGCCGC
rnacentral:rRNA from 1 species